rnacentral:rRNA from 1 species
AUUGAACGCUGGCGGCAGGCGUAACACAUGCAAGUCGAGCGGAGAUGAGGUGCUUGCACCUUAUCUUAGCGGCGGACGGGUGAGUAAUGCUUAGGAAUCUGCCUAUUAGUGGGGGACAACAUUCCGAAAGGAAUGCUAAUACCGCAUACGCCCUACGGGGGAAAGCAGGGGAUCUUCGGACCUUGCGCUAAUAGAUGAGCCUAAGUCGGAUUAGCUAGUUGGUGGGGUAAAGGCCUACCAAGGCGACGAUCUGUAGCGGGUCUGAGAGGAUGAUCCGCCACACUGGGACUGAGACACGGCCCAGACUCCUACGGGAGGCAGCAGUGGGGAAUAUUGGACAAUGGGCGGAAGCCUGAUCCAGCCAUGCCGCGUGCGUGAAGAAGGCCUUUUGGUUGUAAAGCACUUUAAGCGAGGAGGAGGCUACCUGGAUUAAUACUCUAGGAUAGUGGACGUUACUCGCAGAAUAAGCACCGGCUAACUCUGUGCCAGCCGCCGCCGUAAGAC